ACGGAGGGUGCAAGCGUUGUUCGGAAUUACUGGGCGUAAAGGGCGCGUAGGUGGUUGUGUAAGUCAGAUGUGAAAUCCCCAGGCUCAACCUGGGAACUGCAUCUGAUACUGCAUGACUUGAGUGCAGCAGAGGGAAACGGAAUUCCUGGUGUAGAGGUGAAAUUCGUAGAUAUCAGGAGGAACACCGGUGGCGAAGGCGGUUUCCUGGGCUGACACUGACACUGAGGCGCGAAAGCGUGGGUAGCAAACAG
rnacentral:rRNA from 1 species